UGCAGAGAGAGGCACAGAGCAGCUCUGGACGAUGUGCACCCCUGCUUCCUGAAUUGCAGCCUUUGCACCAGAGUAAUGGUUUCUGAGAAAAGAGCCAGAAAUCAAACCUGGACCCUGUUGCUGCUAAUCAAAUCAUGACAGAAAGAGGAAAAUACCGCAGGAGCUAGAGCUUCAUGAUUUCUAUCAAAAGCUUGCCAUUUCGUGCAGUAGAGGUUCUGUCAUGUGAUAUUACUCUGCACCGAGGGAAGUUGGAGAGCCCUGCAUGCUGCUUUACUCCACUGGAAGAAGUAGAAGUUUUAACCAUCUUCCCAUGGCAUCUGACUUUUUUGAAGAGGAGGACUUUUCAACCACUUGCUGGAAGGGAAAUAAGAAGUUUGUUUCAAGACUCUUAUGUUGUUCAUCAGUGCUGUGAACAAACGUGGGGCUCGAGGAUACAUUUGCUGGUUCUCUGCAUUUUUGCUGAAGGAAGGACCUUGCUGUCUCCCAGCUCCUGUGGGCAUUAGGUUUCAUGGAUGUCUCUUGGGAAGAGGACAGCUCUGUAGAGCCUAAGUUUCAAAAGUAAUUUUAAAGAUUGCACCCAAGAGAGAAGCAGUGAGAUGCACAGUGGGGAACAUGAACCCAGCAGUCCAUCCUAUCCUGUACCUGCCUGAAUAUGGGAAGAGACCCAGUAGAAAGCCAGAAUGCAGCUGGGCUUGCAGUAUUUUUAACCAUAUUAAGUCCUGUUCAGAGUUAAUGAUGAGCUCAGUGAGAUGGUCUCAGCAAUGCUGAAGAAGGGAAGGACAGAAUUGGAAGGCAGGAACUAUUUCAAAGCAGGAUUCUUCAUCUUUCUGUAAUGCCCAAACAUGAAGACUUUAUAAACUUCAUUAGAUCCUGCCAUCAAUGACUGAGCCUCCCUGAAAUCUUAUCAGUUACUGCCAAGAUGAGAAGGAUAACAGGAAGGAGGAGUGCUUAAGUGGCUUUAAUGACAAUUAAUUUCUACUGUUUAUCAAAUGACAGGUUGUUUUUUCCUCAAAACUCGAUUGUCAUGACAAGAUGCUUUUGGAAGUAAUUUUUGUAAAAUAAAAUGACAGUUUUUAGGCUACAAAGAGCUAUUGUAUCUUACUAUUGAAUGUUGUCAUUAUGGUAAAAUGCUGGAAAGUAUUUUUGAAGUAAUUUAACUUGCAUACUUCAUUCAUUUAUUUUAAUAUCUGUAGAAUGCCAUGUAAAAAGUUUCUUGCUGGAAUUCUUUUAUUCAAUGGAAUGCUUAUUGUUACAAUGCUCAAUUUAUUAAUGUCUGAAUUAUUGUUGCUCUAGCCUCCUGCAAAAAGUUUCUUUUUAGUAAUUCUUAAACAAAUAAGGAAUGAAUGAAGUUUUGUC